UGUCCACGUCUACACCGGCUUUGCCUCA
rnacentral:piRNA from 1 species